rnacentral:tRNA from 1 species
GAGGGGUGGCCGAGUGGUUGAAGGCGACGGUCUUGAAAAUCGUUGUAGGGUAACCCCCUACCGUGAGUUCGAAUCUCACCCCCUCC